rnacentral:tRNA from 1 species
AAUUAAUAAGCUAAUUAGCAAAUGCUUUGAAAGCAUUUAACUAGAAGUUUAAAUCUUCUAUUAAUUU